UUCCCAUUCCCAUCCCAUCCCCAUUCCCAUCCCUAUCCCUGUCAUUGCCCCAUUCCCAUCCCUGUCCUGUCCCCAUCCCAUUUCCAGCCGUGUCAUUGUCCCAUCCCUAUCCCAUUUCCAUCCCAUUCUCAUCCCCCCAUCCCAUUCAUAUCCACAUCCCCAUCCCAUUCCCAUCCCAUUUCCAGCUGUGUCAUUGCCCCAUUCCCAUUACUGUCCCACCCCCAUCCCUAUCUGCAUCCCUAUCCCAUUCCCAUUACUGUCCCAUCCUUAUCUGUAUCCUUGUCCCAGCCCCAUCCCUAUCCCAUCCCAUUAUUCCCAUCCCCAUUCCCAUCAUCAUUCCCAUUCCUGUUAUCCCCAUUAUCCCUGUUAUCCCCAUCCCAUUCCCAUCCCCAUUAUGCCCAUCAUUCCCAUCAUUAUUCCCACUGUUAUCCCUGUUAUUCCCAUUCCUAUUCCCAUUCCUGUUAUUCCCACCAUCAUUCCCAUCCCAUUCCCAUGAUUCCCAUCAUUCCCAUCAUCAUUCCCAUCUCAUUAUCCCCUUAUCCCAUUGUCAUUCCCACCCCAUUCCCAUUAUCCCAUUCCCAUUCCCGUUAUCCCGUUGUCAUUCCUGUCAUUCCCACCCCAUUCCCAUCAUUCCCCUUAUUCCCACCGUCAUUCCCAUCAUUAUCCCCAUCAUUAUCCCACUGUUAUUCUGUUGUCAUUCCCGUUAUUCCCACCCCAUUCCCAUCAUUAUCCCAUCAUCAUUCCCAUCAUUCCCACCCCAUUAUCCCAUUAUCCCCUUGCCAUUCCCAUCAUUAUCCUCAUCAUUAUCCCACCGUUAUCCCGUUGUCAUUCCCACCCCAUUCCCAUCAUUAUCCCGUAGUCAUUCCCGUUAUCCCACUGUCAUUCCCAUCCCAUUAUCCCCAGUAUCCCAGUAUCCCAUUCCCUACCGUGCCGCCAGUAUGACCGCAUGCUGCUCGGGGCAGCACUGCCCCCAUUGUCAUUCCCAGUAUCCCAUAGUCAUUCCCACCCCAUUAUCCCAUAGGUUAUCCCAUAGGUUAUCCCAUAGGUUACCCCAUAGGCUAUCCCAUACGUUACCGUGCCGCCAGUAUGACCGCAUGCUGC
rnacentral:lncRNA from 1 species